rnacentral:rRNA from 1 species
CUAGUGGCGCACGGGUGCGUAACGCGUGGGAAUCUACCCUUGGGUUCGGAAUAACAGUUAGAAAUGACUGCUAAUACCGGAUGAUGACUUCGGUCCAAAGAUUUAUCGCCCAGGGAUGAGCCCGCGUAGGAUUAGCUAGUUGGUGAGGUAAAGGCUCACCAAGGCGACGAUCCUUAGCUGGUCUGAGAGGAUGAUCAGCCACACUGGGACUGAGACACGGCCCAGACUCCUACGGGAGGCAGCAGUGGGGAAUAUUGGACAAUGGGCGAAAGCCUGAUCCAGCAAUGCCGCGUGAGUGAUGAAGGCCUUAGGGUUGUAAAGCUCUUUUACCCGGGAAGAUAAUGACUGUACCGGGAGAAUAAGCCCCGGCUAACUCCGUGCCAGCAGCCGCGGUAAUACGGAGGGGGCUAGCGUCGUUCGGAAUUACUGGGCGUAAAGCGUACGUAGGCGG